CACAAUGUGAAUGGAACGGUAGCUCCUAUGUAAGAAAUAAGAAUGUUAAAGUUGGCUUUUAAGCAGUUUAGCAAUUUUUCUGCGAAACUAGUAAGUAGAUGCAAGGAAACUGGUUUCCACAUUGUUUGGAUUAACUCUACCUUUUCAUUCAUUGCUUCCAAGGUAUUGUUUGUUUACGUACACCCUAACUUGACUUGAAAAAUUUUAAACUAAAAAGUUGCUUUAAACAUAAAUUUAAUAACUAAUCAUUAUACUAAAAGACUAUAUGAAUUGAAUGGGCUUAUCAUAAAAAACAUAUAAAUCAAAGGAAACUUUGUUUGCCAAUUCCACUCUCAAUAGCUUGCUCAUUGCUUAUUGAUCUUAGACGUCAACUUGGCUUGCUCAACUAGGACACGAGGUGCAUCCAACAUAGGCAUUACAAGCUCAACUACUUGAAUGACAUCUGCAUUUGCAAACUCCUUGUCGCUAAACAACUUUUCAACGUCAGUAGGAGUUUUAACACAGUAAGUGCGGAAGUGGUUUUCAGCAGCUCCGAAAAACUUGGGAAUCUGUUGGUAGCCCCAUUUAGUGUUAAUUUCGUUAUAGCUAGCAUGCAAACCAUGAAUUAAACGCUCAAUGGUGUAACCGUCGUUGUUAAUUAUGAAAAUAAUUGGUUUGAGGUUAUGGCGAAUGCAGGUUGAAAUCUCUGUAAUCGUCAGUUGUAAGGAUCCAUCACCUACUACAAGAAUGGUACGACGAUCGGGCUCUUUAGAAUCGUGGACGGCCAAAACAGCACCAAACAUUGCACCAACGGAGUAUCCAAUAGAUCCCCAUAAUACCUGGGAAAUGGCUGUUACAUCCUUUGGAAACCUGCAAUCAAGGACACCAAAGUUUGCAGUUCCAGUCUCGGUGAUCAAAACAUCUCGGGGCUUCAAAAAUUCACUAAAUUUAGGCCAAAACCAGCAAUGAGUAAUCUCGUUGGAAGAAUAUCCUUCCGCAUGCUUAGGCUUGAUGUUGUAGCCAAUGGUAGGAGCAGCCUUGGAAUGACACAUAGAAGCAUCAAGUACUUUCAACAGUUUGCGAAGAAUAUACUUCAUGGCUACAUUUGGAUAAAGAGCAUAUCGAAUGCGCAUGUGGUCUGAAUGAAACUCAACGGCAUUCUUUUGGCUGAGGUGGUAAGAGAAGGAACCCGUGUUAAAGUCUGAUUUGAGAGCACCGAUGGAUAGCAACAGAUCAGUGGAUUCAAUUCUGUCUUUAACUUCAGGAUCUGAAAUUGAACCAACAUAAACGCCGUCAAAAAAUUGCGAAGUUUCGUCAAUUGCAGAUUUACCCAUGGGAGUUACAUAUGUAGGGAAAUGGGUCAAUUUAAUCAGCUCAUGUACUUCUGGAACGACACGAUGUCUUACAGCACAAGCGUCAAUUAAAAUCACUGGUUUCUUUGCAUUGACAACCAUUUCCGAGAUAUGAUUGAUGACUUCUUGCUCAACUGCUGGAUCGUUAGUAUCCUCCUCGAGCUUUAGUCUUUUCCCAAGAUUUGAUGAAGAUGCUUUGAAGUAGCCAGCAUCAGAAGGAAUACCAAUGUAAACAGGCCUAGCCUUUUUAUAACAAAUCGACAAGGCUUCAUCGAUCUUUUCAGCUGCAUCGUUUCCGUUAUCGAUCAUUAUACUGUAGGCAGAAACUUUCUUAAACAUAUCCAUGAAAGUGCGAAAGUCUCCAUCUCCUAAAGUAUGAUGAAGCAAAGCUCCAGUAUCUUGCACCUUUGUGGAAGGCAUUCCAACAAUAUGAACUACUGGGACAUGCUCCGCAUAAGAACCUGCCACUCCAUUAAUAGCGGAAAGCUCUCCCACGCCGAACGUUGUAACAAUGGCUGAAAGACCAUUAACACGAGCAUAACCAUCAGCGGCAUAAGCACCAUUCAACUCAUUGGUAUUGCCAACCCAACGAAAUUUCUCAUCUCCAACUUUCUCAAUUAAGUCAAGUAGAGCUAAAUUGAAAUCUCCUGGAACACCAAGAAUGGACUUGACCCCUAAUUGUUCAAGCCUUUUGAAUAGAUAUUCACCGACUAAAAUAUCCCCACUCAUGUUUGAUAAUGCAAUUUAAUGUGCUUGUGAAAUAUACUCAACAAAUUACAAUGCUGAGUGUGUAUUCCUUUUUCGCAAGAUAAUUAUCUGUUGAAUAACCAGCAGAUACUUUCUGAACUUAAAGGAACAAGUGAGUUUGCUAGCUAAAAGUUAAAAAGAUAUAACCUUAGAUGCUUCAGAGCAGGGUUACUCUGGCUAUAUAAGCAACAUUCCGUCAUCAAUGAUACAUUGAGUUAAUGUGGAUUAUUCUUUUUGAAACUCUUGGUACGAAACCACUCGUCAGAGGCUAUUUCAUUAUUCGACUCAAAUCUCACUAUGUGCCACCCGGGAAAACGUCAACUAUGCAAUUUGCAAUUAUUGAUUUAAGGCAUCGUCAGCAGUUUAUACUGGACGAUUCUUCGGUUAGUGUAAGCAACUGCAGAAAUUAUUAUGAAAACUCUACAUCACCGAACGUUCCGUCUCGAAAUUCUUAAUUGUAUCUAUACCAAAGACAAAAUUGAUACCUUUUACAUUAUGUCUAAACUGAAUUUAAUGACUAUUCCUUAUUUCAAGCUUAUUAAUUUACAUGCUUUAUUGGUUUGUACCAUGUUUGUUUGGAUACUUAACAUUGAGAGCUGAAUGUGAAAUAUUGUUUCGUCCGUAAAAGUAAGGCGUACCUCAUGGUUACGAGACCAUGUGACCACUCAAAAAUAGAAUCCUCAUUAUUAUAAAGUAUCCAAAAGUCUUUGAACAUAUUGCUGUAAUUAUGAUUUCACAUGAAUAUUAACGACAUUUUUCAACCGAGUUCACGAUUUGCCUGACAUCUAGCAAUAUCGAUUUCACAAUUGAUGGACCAUUUAUAGGCUUCUUGCUUUAAUUCUGAUUAUUUUUUUCAUUGUUAUAUUGCUACAGUGUUAAGCUUCAACUUGUUGUUUUUCUGUUUAUCAUAUUGAUUUGCAAAUUGUAACGCUCCUUGCUAUCCUCAAUAGUUGCCAUGAGCCAAACGGUAUAGCAAGAAGUGAUCUCCAGCACUGGUUCCCCCACCCCCACAUGAUGUGUACAUUUAAGAGGGCAGGUAACGCUAAUAAAUAGUAUGAUAAAUAAUACAAAAUUACUGUUAUAAAAAUUUCAACAGAUAUC